AUUGAACGCUGGCGGCAGGCCUAACACAUGCAAGUCGAGCGGAUGAAGGGAGCUUGCUCCUGGAUUCAGCGGCGGACGGGUGAGUAAUGCCUAGGAAUCUGCCUGGUAGUGGGGGAUAACGUCCGGAAACGGGCGCUAAUACCGCAUACGUCCUGAGAGAGAAAGUGGGGGAUCUUCGGACCUCUCGCUAUCAGAUGAGCCUAGGUCGGAUUAGCUAGUUGGUGGGGUAAAGGCCUACCAAGGCGACGAUCCGUAACUGGUCUGAGAGGAUGAUCAGUCACACUGGAACUGAGACACGGUCCAGACUCCUACGGGAGGCAGCAGUGGGGAAUAUUGGACAAUGGGCGAAAGCCUGAUCCAGCCAUGCCGCGUAUGUGAAGAAGGUCUUCGGAUUGUAAAGCACUUUAAGUUGGGAGGAAGGGCAGUAAGUUAAUACCUUGCUGUUUUGACGGUACCAACAGAAUAAGCACCGGCUAACUUCGUG
rnacentral:rRNA from 1 species